rfam:Salmo salar isolate Sally breed double haploid chromosome ssa07, whole genome shotgun sequence.
UCCCGUGUGGCUCAGUUGGUAGAGCAUGGUGUUUGCAACGCCAGGGUUGUGGGUUUGAUUCCCACAGGGGAC